rnacentral:rRNA from 1 species
AUUGAACGCUGGCGGAAUGCUUUACACAUGCAAGUCGAACGGCAGCACGGGGGCAACCCUGGUGGCGAGUGGCGAACGGGUGAGUAAUACAUCGGAACGUGCCCAGUCGUGGGGGAUAACGUAGCGAAAGCUACGCUAAUACCGCAUACGAUCUACGGAUGAAAGCGGGGGAUCGCAAGACCUCGCGCGAUUGGAGCGGCCGAUGGCAGAUUAGGUAGUUGGUGGGGUAAAGGCUCACCAAGCCUUCGAUCUGUAGCUGGUCUGAGAGGACGACCAGCCACACUGGGACUGAGACACGGCCCAGACUCCUACGGGAGGCAGCAGUGGGGGAAUUUUGGACAAUGGGCGAAAGCCUGAUCCAGCCAUUCCGCGUGCAGGAUGAAGGCCCUCGGGUUGUAAACUGCUUUUGUACGGAACGAAACGGCCUUUUCUAAUACAGAGGGCUAAUGACGGUACCGUAAGAAUAAGCACCGGCUAACUACGUGCCAGCAGCCGCGGUAAAGU